GAUGAACGCUGGCGGCGUGCCUAAUACAUGCAAGUCGAACGAACAGACGAUGAGCUUGCUCCGCUGACGUUAGCGGAGGACGGGAGAGUAACACGUGGAUAACCCACUUAUAUGACUGGGAUAAUUUCGAAAAACCGGAGCAAAUACCGGAGAAUAUAUUGAACCGCAUGGGUCAAUAGUAAAAGACGGUUUUGGUGGAUGUAAUAGAUGGUUACGCGCCGUAUGAGCUAGUUGGUAAGGUAACAGCUUACCAAGGCGACGAUGCGUAUACGACCGCAGAGGUGGAUCGCCCACCUUGGAGGUUAGACACCGUCCAUACUCCUACGGGAGGCAGCAGUCGGGAAUCUUCCGCAAUGGGCGAAAGUCUGACGCAGCAACGCCGCGUGAGUGAUGAAGGUCUUGCGUUCGUAAAACUCUGUUAUUGGGGAAGAACAGCUGUGUAAGUAACUAUGCACGUCUUGACGGUACCUAAUCAGAAAGCCACGGCUAACUACGUG
rnacentral:rRNA from 1 species